rnacentral:ncRNA from 1 species
AGCUAAAUAUAUUUAGUUCGAUGAUUAUGCAGUAUCCAUUCUGCGUAGACCUAGAACGUCAAUAUAUAUAAGGAGAAACAAAAAUG